rnacentral:rRNA from 1 species
GCAUAUCAAUAAGCGGAGGAAAAGAAACCAACAGGGAUUGCCUCAGUAACGGCGAGUGAAGCGCCAGGCCUUUCAAAUAAA